rnacentral:rRNA from 1 species
AUGAACGCUGGCGGCGUGCUUAACACAUGCAAGUCGAACGGAAAGGCCCAAGCUUGCUUGGGUACUCGAGUGGCGAACGGGUGAGUAACACGUGGGUGAUCUGCCCUGCACUUCGGGAUAAGCCUGGGAAACUGGGUCUAAUACCGGAUAGGACGAUGGUUUGGAUGCCAUUGUGGAAAGUUUUUUCGGUGUGGGAUGAGCUCGCGGCCUAUCAGCUUGUUGGUGGGGUAAUGGCCUACCAAGGCGUCGACGGGUAGCCGGCCUGAGAGGGUGUACGGCCACAUUGGGACUGAGAUACGGCCCAGACUCCUACGGGAGGCAGCAGUGGGGAAUAUUGCACAAUGGGCGCAAGCCUGAUGCAGCGACGCCGCGUGGGGGAUGACGGCCUUCGGGUUGUAAACUCCUUUCGCUAGGGACGAAGCGUUUUGUGACGGUACCUGGAGAAGAAGCACCGGCUAACUACGU